AUUGAACGCUGGCGGCAGGCCUAACACAUGCAAGUCGAGCGAGCGGCGGACGGGUGAGUAAUGUAUGGGGAUCUGCCUGAUGGCGGGGGAUAACUACUGGAAACGGUAGCUAAUACCGCAUACCAUCAGAUGAUCCCAUAUGGGAUUAGCUAGUAGGUAAGGUAACGGCUUACCUAGGCGACGAUCCCUAGCUGGUCUGAGAGGAUGAUCAGCCACACUGGAACUGAGACACGGGCCAGACUCGGACGGGAGGCAGAAGGGGGGAAUAUUGCACAAUGGGCGCAAGCCUGAGGCAGCAAUGCCGCGUGUAUGAAGAAGGCCUUCGGGUUGUAAAGUACUUUCAGUCGGGAGGCGUUACCGACAGAAGAAGCACCGGCUAACUCCGUGCCAGCAGACGCGGUAAUAC
rnacentral:rRNA from 1 species